rnacentral:rRNA from 2 species
CAUCCUCCAAGGCUAAAUACUCCUGACUGACCGAUAGUGAACCAGUACCGUGAGGGAAAGGCGAAAAGAACCCCGGCGAGGGGAGUGAAAAAGAACCUGAAACCGUGUACGUACAAGCAGUGGGAGCCCCACCACUAAGCCAGUGGUGAACUCCACAUACGCAUCCUUUGCUGAGGAGACGGUUAACGGAGCGAAAGCGACGUUCAACCUCAAAACAAGCAGAGGGGGCUUAGUGGUGGGGUGACUGCGUACCUUUUGUAUAAUGGGUCAGCGACUUAUAUUCUGUAGCAAGGUUAACCGAAUAGGGGAGCCGGAGGGAAACCGAGUCUUAAUUGGGCGUUAAGUUGCAGGGUAUAGACCCGAAACCCGGUGAUCUAGCCAUGGGCAGGUUGAAGGUUGGGUAACACUAACUGGAGGACCGAACCGACUAAUGUUGAAAAAUUAGCGGAUGACCUGUGGCU